GUAGGUGGCAAGCGUUGUCCGGAAUUAUUGGGCGUAAAGCGCGCGCAGGCGGUCCUUUAAGUCUGAUGUGAAAGCCCACGGCUCAACCGUGGAGGGUCAUUGGAAACUGGGGGACUUGAGUACAGAAGAGGAAAGCGGAAUUCCAAGUGUAGCGGUGAAAUGCGUAGAGAUUUGGAGGAACACCAGUGGCGAAGGCGGCUUUCUGGUCUGUAACUGACGCUGAGGCGCGAAAGCGUGGGGAGCAAACAGGGAUUAGAUACCCUGGUAGUCCACGCCGUAAACGACGAGUGCUAAGUGUUAGGGGGUUUCCCGCCCCCCUUAGUGCUGCAGCUAACGCAUUAAGCACUCCGCCUGGGGAGUACGGCCGCAAGGCUG
rnacentral:rRNA from 1 species